CACUCCAAAUCCCCCUCGGGAUCCAUCCCCUCGGUCGCCGCCGCAUCCUCCUCGUUUUUCUCAGCCAACCAACCAGAUCCACUCCUCCUGUUUUUUCCUUGAGAUCCACCUCCACCUUCCCACCGCAGCUGACCACCAUCCCCUUUGUUUCCGUGCCCGACCAAGCCCCGGCCUCCUCGAGCAGCCUCUGCUUCGAGCUCACGCACCCAGCCGCCAGCCGCUGCCCGAAUUCCUCCUUCCCCGAAGCUCCUCCUCUGCUUUCUCCUCGAACCAGUAGCAGCAGCGCAGCGCCCAAGUGCUCCUCACCUCACCUGUGCACCCUGCCUCCACUCCGGCACCGGGAACGAAUCCCCCCGCGCCCGGAUCUCACCACCGCGUCGCCGUCCAGGACCCCGCUGGCCUCCCCUUUCUUGAACUGCGGGAAGAGGACGACGCAUCCAGCGAGCGCCCGCUCGUCCCAGCCGCGUCCCUAGGAAGCUCGCCGCCACAAAGCUUCUCCGGCCUCUACUCCGCUCCGACCCAGGCCUCCGGCGGCCUUGCCGUCGUCGUCGCCUAGGAGCUCGUCCGUUUCCCAAGGGCUCCACCGACCACGGCCUUCGACGUAGUCCACGACGUCCAGCUCAUUCCACCUCGUUUGCCUCCCCUGCCAGGCCCCGUCGCCCUCCUCUCCUUCCGCACGCACCUUCGCUCGACCCCGCCGCCCUCCAUCUCCGUCGUGACGUCGCCGGACCAGUGGCUCUGCCGCACCGGCCAUACUCCUCCGUGGCGGCCACCGAAGGAGCUGCAGCAGCCCCGUGCGCUGUCCGAGCCUCCCCUGCUUCGCCAAGCCAUCGUCUCCGGCCGAAUCCACUUCCGCGUCGCCGGAUCUCGCCUCCGCCCGCCGCCAUCCUCUUCCUGGAGGAGCUCCGCCGCGCCCCUGUUUUCCUCUGCUUCGAGGAUGAGCCAGUCGCUCGUGUUUGACCGACUCCAGGUCAACACACCCGCGUGCACGCUGUGUGGCAGCUGCUUCCGCUGAGGCCCAGUGCAUCCCCAGCCCAUCACCUUCGAUGGUCCAAGGCCCAGGGUGAUCAGCCCCUGGCCUUUUCCCUCUGUUGGGUUUCCUAUACAGAUUCGGCCGAGAGUCUAAUUUUUUUUGUCUC